rnacentral:rRNA from 1 species
CGUACACUCCUGCGGGAGGCAGCAGUGGGGAAUAUUAGACAAUGGGCGCAAGCCUGAUCCAGCCAUGCCGCGUGAGUGAUGAAGGCCCUAGGGUUGUAAAGCUCUUUCACCGGUGAAGAUAAUGACGGUAACCGGAGAAGAAGCCCCGGCUAACUUCGUGCCAGCAGCCGCGGUAAUACGAAGGGGGCUAGCGUUGUUCGGAUUUACUGGGCGUAAAGCGCACGUAGGCGGACUAUUAAGUCAGGGGUGAAAUCCCGGGGCUCAACCCCGGAACUGCCUUUGAUACUGGUAGUCUUGAGUUCGAGAGAGGUGAGUGGAAUUCCGAGUGUAGAGGUGAAAUUCGUAGAUAUUCGGAGGAACACCAGUGGCGAAGGCGGCUCACUGGCUCGAUACUGACGCUGAGGUGCGAAAGCGUGGGGAGCAAACAGGAUUAGAUACCCCUGUAGUCCC